GAUGAACGCUGGCGGCGUGCUUAACACAUGCAAGUCGAACGGAAAGGCCUCUGCUUGCAGGGGUACUCGAGUGGCGAACGGGUGAGUAACACGUGGGUGAUCUGCCCUGCACUUCGGGAUAAGCCUGGGAAACUGGGUCUAAUACCGGAUAGGACAAUGGUUUGGAUGCUGUUGUGGAAAGUUUUUCGGUGUGGGAUGAGCUCGCGGCCUAUCAGCUUGUUGGUGGGGUAAUGGCCUACCAAGGCGUCGACGGGUAGCCGGCCUGAGAGGGUGUACGGCCACAUUGGGACUGAGAUACGGCCCAGACUCCGACGGGAGGCAGCAGGGGGGAAUAUUGCACAAUGGGCGCAAGCCUGAUGCAGCGACGCCGCGUGGGGGAUGACGGCCUUCGGGUUGUAAACUCCUUUCGCUGGGGACGAAGCGUUUUUGUGACGGUACCUGGAGAAGAAGCACCGGCUAACUACGUG
rnacentral:rRNA from 1 species